rnacentral:rRNA from 1 species
ACGGAUAAAAGCUACCCCGGGGAUAACAGGCUUAUCUCCCCCAAGAGUCCACAUCGACGGGGAGGUUUGGCACCUCGAUGUCGGCUCGUCUCAUCCUGGGGCUGGAGUAGGUCCCAAGGGUUGGGCUGUUCGCCCAUUAAAGAGGCACGCGAGCUGGGUUCAGAACGUCGUGAGACAGUUCGGUCCCUAUCCAGCGUGGGCGUAAGAAAUUUGAGAGGAGCUGUCCUUAGUACGAGAGGACCGGGAUGGACGCACCAAUGGUGUACGAGUUGUUAGGCCACUAGCAUGGCUCGGUAGCUAAGUGCGGAAUUGAUAAGUACUGAAAGCAUCUAAGUACGAAGCAACCCUCAAGAUAAGAUUUCUUAGAGUAGGUAAAGAAAAUACCUUUGAUAGGUCCAAGGUGUAAGUGCAGUAAUGUAUUAAGCUAAUGGAUACUAAACUUUAUAUCUUGACUGG